AGGGUGCAAGCGUUAUCGGAAUUACUGGGCGUAAAGCGCACGCAGGCGGUCUGUCAAGUCGGAUGUGAAAUCCCCGGGCUCAACCUGGGAACUGCAUUCGAAACUGGCAGGCUAGAGUCUUGUAGAGGGGGGUAGAAUUCCAGGUGUAGCGGUGAAAUGCGUAGAGAUCUGGAGGAAUACCGGUGGCGAAGGCGGCCCCCUGGACAAAGACUGACGCUCAGGUGCGAAAGCGUGGGGAGCAAACAGGAUUAGAUACCCUGGUAGUCCACGCCGUAAACGAUGUCGACUUGGAGGUUGUGCCCUUGAGGCGUGGCUUCCGGAGCUAACGCAUUAAGUCGACCGCCUGGGGAGUACGGCCGCAAGGUUAAAACUCAAAUGAAUUGACGGGGGCCCGCACAAGCGGUGGAGCAUGUGGUUUAAUUCGAUGCAACGCGAAAAACCUUACCUGGCCUUGACAUCCAGAGAACUUAGCAGAGAUGCUUUGGUGCCUUCGGGAACUCUGAGACAGGUGCUGCAUGGCUGUCGUCAGCUCGUGUUGUGAAAUGUUGGGUUAAGUCCCGCAACGAGCGCAACCCUUUUCCUUAUUUGCCAGCACUUCGGGUGGGAACUUUAAGGAUACUGCCAGUGACAAACUGGAGGAAGGCGGGGACGACGUCAAGUCAUCAUGGCCCUUACGACCAGGGCUACACACGUGCUACAAUGGUCGGUACAGAGGGUAGCCAAACCGCGAGGUGGAGCCAAUCCCAUAAAGCCGAUCUUAGUCCGGAUUGCAGUCUGCAACUCGACUGCAUGAAUCGGAAUCGCUAGUAAUCGUGGAUCAGCAUUGCCACGGUGGAUACAUUCCCGGG
rnacentral:rRNA from 1 species